UACAGAGGUCUCAAGCGUUGUUCGGAUUCAUUGGGCGUAAAGGGUGCGUAGGUGGCGAGGCAAGUCAGAUGUGAAAUCCCGGGGCUCAACCCCGGAACUGCAUUUGAAACUGCCUUGCUCGAGUACUGGAGAGGAGACUGGAAUUUACGGUGUAGCAGUGAAAUGCGUAGAUAUCGUAAGGAAGACCAGUGGCGAAGGCGGGUCUCUGGACAGUUCCUGACACUGAGACACGAAGGCCAGGGGAGCAAACGGG
rnacentral:rRNA from 1 species